rnacentral:rRNA from 1 species
AUUGAACGCUGGCGGAAUGCUUUACACAUGCAAGUCGAACGGCAGCACGGACUUCGGUCUGGUGGCGAGUGGCGAACGGGUGAGUAAUGUAUCGGAACGUGCCCAGUCGUGGGGGAUAACGUAGUGAAAAUUACGCUAAUACCGCAUACGAUCUAUGGAUGAAAGCGGGGGAUCGCAAGACCUCGCGCGAUUGGAGCGGCCGAUAUCAGAUUAGGUAGUUGGUGGAGUAAAAGCCCACCAAGCCAACGAUCUGUAGCUGGUCUGAGAGGACGACCAGCCACACUGGAACUGAGACACGGUCCAGACUCCUACGGGAGGCAGCAGUGGGGAAUUUUGGACAAUGGGCGAAAGCCUGAUCCAGCCAUUCCGCAUGCAGGAUGAAGGCCCUCGGGUUGUAAACUGCUUUUGUACGGAACGAAAAGGUUUCUACUAAUACUAGGAGCUCAUGACGGUACUGUAAGAAUAAGCACCGGCUAACUACGUGCCAGCCGCCGCCGUAA